ensembl:lncRNA
AUGUUUGUCCAUUAUGUCAGAGGUGGAUGUGGAUGGUAUGACAGUAACGGUUAAACCUCUCGGAUGGCAGCAGAGGAUCAGUCUUACAAAAUGGAGUCUGACAUGGAAAUGCACUUGAAACAAAGGUCUGUCAUUGACUCCCAUGAGGAAAAAAUGGCACCCACUGACAUUCAUUGACACUUAUGGAGUCCAAACAGUGGACGUGAGCACAGGGAGAUGGUACUAUGAACAGAAAGAAAACAACAACAACAACAACAACAAAACAUUAGGAAUCAUUACACUGUUUGGUUCUCCCCACACAUUCUUCUUAUCUACGACGCAGAGAUCAAACCAUCUACAAGACAUUCUAUCUCAAGAAUCUACCUCUAGAAUCUGCAGUUUGUGUCUGUCUACUGAGCAUAUUCUGAGCAUUUUACAGAACCUCCAGAUGUCUUGACAUGCAUGAGACUUGGUUCCUGUUGUCUAAAAUAAUGCCUUUUCUAGCAUCACCAGCUGUUGCCUGAGGAAGUACUGUGAGCCUCUCUACCUCUAGCCCUGGUGUGCUUAGGCUGCCUGAAAAGUGAAGUAAUGGAGCCGUAUGUUGUUACAAAGAAUUUGUGCAGGCCCGACAUUUUGCUAAACUUCUCUCCUAGGUUCUGCGCUAGCUCUGUUUCCUUGCUAUUAUUGGUACCAUUAAACUAG